GAGUAACCUGCCCUUGACUCUGGGAUAAGCCUGGGAAACUGGGUCUAAUACCGGAUACGACCAUUCCACGCAUGUGGUGGUGGUGGAAAGCUUUUGUGGUUUUGGAUGGACUCGCGGCCUAUCAGCUUGUUGGUGGGGUAAUGGCCUACCAAGGCGACGACGGGUAGCCGGCCUGAGAGGGUGACCGGCCACACUGGGACUGAGACACGGCCCAGACUCCUACGGGAGGCAGCAGUGGGGAAUAUUGCACAAUGGGCGCAAGCCUGAUGCAGCGACGCCGCGUGAGGGAUGACGGCCUUCGGGUUGUAAACCUCUUUCAGUAGGGAAGAAGCGUAAGUGACGGUACCUGCAGAAGAAGCGCCGGCUAACUACGUGCCAGCAGCCGCGGUAAUACGUAGGGCGCAAGCGUUAUCCGGAAUUAUUGGGCGUAAAGAGCUCGUAGGCGGUUUGUCGCGUCUGCUGUGAAAGACCGGGGCUCAACUCCGGUUCUGCAGUGGGUACGGGCAGACUAGAGUGCAGUAGGGGAGACUGGAAUUCCUGGUGUAGCGGUGAAAUGCGCAGAUAUCAGGAGGAACACCGAUGGCGAAGGCAGGUCUCUGGGCUGUAACUGACGCUGAGGAGCGAAAGCAUGGGGAGCGAACAGGAUUAGAUACCCUGGUAGUCCAUGCCGUAAACGUUGGGCACUAGGUGUGGGGGACAUUCCACGUUUUCCGCGCCGUAGCUAACGCAUUAAGUGCCCCGCCUGGGGAGUACGGCCGCAAGGCUAAAACUCAAAGGAAUUGACGGGGGCCCGCACAAGCGGCGGAGCAUGCGGAUUAAUUCGAUGCAACGCGAAGAACCUUACCAAGGCUUGACAUGAACCGGAAAGACCUGGAAACAGGUGCCCCGCUUGCGGUCGGUUUACAGGUGGUGCAUGGUUGUCGUCAGCUCGUGUCGUGAGAUGUUGGGUUAAGUCCCGCAACGAGCGCAACCCUCGUUCUAUGUUGCCAGCGCGUUAUGGCGGGGACUCAUAGGAGACUGCCGGGGUCAACUCGGAGGAAGGUGGGGACGACGUCAAAUCAUCAUGCCCCUUAUGUCUUGGGCUUCACGCAUGCUACAAUGGCCGGUACAAAGGGUUGCGAUACUGUGAGGUGGAGCUAAUCCCAAAAAGCCGGUCUCAGUUCGGAUUGGGGUCUGCAACUCGACCCCAUGAAGUCGGAGUCGCUAGUAAUCGCAGAUCAGCAACGCUGCGGUGAAUACGUUCCCGGGCCUUGUACACACCGCCC
rnacentral:rRNA from 1 species